rnacentral:rRNA from 1 species
GACGAACGCUGGCGGCGCGCCUAACACAUGCAAGUCGAACGGAGUUAUUUCGGUUGAAGUUUUCGGAYGGAUACUGGUUUAACUUAGUGGCGAACGGGUGAGUAACGCGUGAGUAACCUGCCCUGGAGUGGGGGACAACAGUUGGAAACGACUGCUAAUACCGCAUAAGCCCACGGCCCGGCAUCGGGCUGAGGGAAAAGGAUUUAUUCGCUUCAGGAUGGACUCGCGUCCAAUUAGCUAGUUGGUGAGGUAACGGCCCACCAAGGCGACGAUUGGUAGCCGGACUGAGAGGUUGAACGGCCACAUUGGGACUGAGACACGGCCCAGACUCCUACGGGAGGCAGCAGUGGGGGAUAUUGCACAAUGGGGGAAACCCUGAUGCAGCGACGCCGCGUGGAGGAAGAAGGUUUUCGGAUUGUAAACUCCUGUCGUUAGGGACGAAUUCUGACGGUACCUAACAAGAAAGCACCGGCUAACUACGUGCCAGCAGCCGCGGUAAAACGUAGGGUGCAAGCGUUGUCCGGAAUUACUGGGUGUAAAGGGAGCGCAGGCGGACCGGCAAGUUGGAAGUGAAAUCUAUGGGCUCAACCCAUAAAUUGCUUUCAAAACUGCUGGCCUUGAGUAGUGCAGAGGUAGGUGGAAUUCCCGGUGUAGCGGUGGAAUGCGUAGAUAUCGGGAGGAACACCAGUGGCGAAGGCGACCUACUGGGCACCAACUGACGCUGAGCUCGAAAGCAUGGGUAGCAACAGGAUUAGAUACCCUGGUAGUCC